UACAGAGGUCUCAAGCGUUGUUCGGAUUCAUUGGGCGUAAAGGGUGCGUAGGCGGCGCGGUAAGUCGGGUGUGAAAUCUCGGAGCUUAACUCCGAAACUGCAUUCGAUACUGCCGUGCUUGAGGACUGGAGAGGAGACUGGAAUUUACGGUGUAGCGGUGAAAUGCGUAGAUAUCGUAAGGAAGACCAGUGGCGAAGGCGGGUCUCUGGACAGUUCCUGACGCUGGAGGCAACGAAGGCCCAGGGGAGCAAACGGG
rnacentral:rRNA from 1 species